AUUUUCUCCUUCUAUUUGUUCUCUUUUGUUCAUUUUAUUUAACUUAGACUUGUUUUUAACUAACUAACUUAUUUUUGGUUGAUUACCUAAAUAAAAUGAACCUAAAUACAAAACUUGAGUAAAUACACUUUACUCAUCCUCAAACAUGUUGUGGUUUGGGUACAAUUUAAUACAUAGAUGUCAAAUAUUUACAGGAAUAAAACUUAAUUUAGUAACCGGUAAUGAUAAUUAAUAAAGACAUAGUUGUGCUCAUGUCGUGCAGGGCCUCUUAUUUAAAGCUCUCAUUACGUCUGUCCAGAUGUUUCAAACCUCUGAAAUGAAGACAUAAAGUACUCUCAGUUAAUGACACAUUCCUCUCAGAGGAUGAUCAAAACUCUUUCACAAUGUCUCUCUCUUUCUUUCUUUCCUUCACUUUUAAUCAGCCUGCUCAUAUAAAAACUCAUUUCCAUGGUGUUAAUGUGGAGUGAGGGUGAGGAGGGAGGGCGAGGCUGGACAAAGCUUGAAACACGUGGUAGAGAAGUGGAGGACGUGUGAGACUACAUGUUGUAACGGCGUUUAAAUUACAUUUAGAAAACAUUAAAGGAAAACAUUUCCCCUGUUCAGUUAACUGCAAACACUUUAAUCGAACAUCGAACAAGUUUCCCCUGAUUACUUUGGAUAAAGCCGAUGUGUUUGCACAAUGAGACCCCUCCUUCCUCUCUCUCUUUUUUUUUUUGUGUGUCUCUACGUGUCGAGAAGAACUUAUCUACGAAUGCAAAUGGAAAUUUGUAGAAAAAAACUGGAGCAUUUCUGCUGCAGAUAAACAGUUGGAGCCAAACCAAUCCACCCAGAUAGUCUUACGUCCAUCUUUAUCUACGCCUACAGGAGGACCUCUCACACCCCAAAACCAGCUCCCACACCCUAACUACAAUGACAGUCACGAUGUCCCACCUAACCCCGGACCGCUCCUUAAGAAGUCGCAGUUACAUCCAUAAACAAAGACCCAGUUACUUGAAUUGAAUUAUUGCAUCAUUGUUGAAAAUAUUAAGAACUGCAGUCCUCCACCCUCUGUAGGUUUACUAUGAUAAAUGAACCUGACCUUAGAAAGGUGGUGUAGAGGUAGCCGAGGACGUGAGUACACUGUGAAUAAUUCGGUGUUAAUGAUUUGGUGUUGGGAGCAGGUACAUUCAUCAGUUGAGAAAUCACUACACUCGAUACCUGAAAAAAAGAGGUGGCUAUAAUGUGUAUAUCCUGCACUACAAGACUCUUGUUCAACUUUACAAGCUUCUGCAGCAAAUUUUGGGAUCUGAAUUCACUGAGUUCAAAACGUAGGAGAGCAAAGACAGCCUAUUUUUUAAAAGGAUGUAUACAAACUGUCAGGGAUUAAAGACAAACUACAGCAAACUACUACCUGCUCUAUCACACUCCUGACAUAACUUGAUGCUGUGGGGCGUCUGUGUGACACAUCUAAUAAAAAAAAUAUCCUGGAAAUCUCUCUCUGAGCGAGUUUAAUAAGUCAGAUAACGUGACAUCAGCUGACAUAUCAUAGUAUUAAAUUCCAAACCGUGAAAGCGUCACGCAUAAAUCCAGAAUGCUGCGAGAUUCAGAGGACUUAAGAGAUGCUGAACGUUAGAUGUAAGCGAGAUAAAGCUUCAAGCUUUUUAAUAGAUGAUGAGGAAAUUCUGUUUUGCUUAUAAUCAGACAUGUAUGACCAGGAAAGGUCACAUCUGAACUCUGUAAACGAAGAAUCUUUAGAGAAAUAUGCAUUUAAAAAUGAAAAGAAUAAGUCUAUAUGCAGUUAAAAAAAAAAAAGUAAUGUAAUAAGGGUGUGGGCAAUCAUUUUGAAAGAGGCAACCAGGUUUAGGUCCAGAUAAGAAAAAGUUCACCCCGUGCUGCCUGGUCCACCCAGAUGUCAUCACAGUAUGCUAAUGAGCUGGGGGCCCUUUUAAGUGCCAGAGCCCAGCAUGCAGAGCAGUUAGGAGCCUGUGAACAAGACAUGGACGCAUGGAAGAAGCCAUAAAAAAACACAUAUAUGUAUAUAUAUAUAUAUGAGCAUGUGGAGGAAAGAGUCAUAAAGGAUGUCCAACGCAACACUGCAUGCAAACAUGAUUACAAACAAAGCGGGAACUCGCUGCAAACAUUUCUGUCUUGUGCCCUGGACAGGAUAUCAUCUUAUACUGUAAGUUUAUUAAAGAGACACUACAGUAUAGAUGAUGUACUAUCCAGGGUUUUCAUUCCACCUCCGGCACUAUCAGCGCACGCUCAGGCCUAACCGACUGUAGGAGGAGGCCUGUAACGGACACCACUGCAGAGGAGGGCCGUCAAACCGUUACCAUUACUGAGUUUAGCAAUGGUAAGGGUUCUACGGCUCUUGCUCAAUGUCAUCAGGAGCUGGAGGAUGGAAAAAAAAAAGUUUGUGAUUGACGUUUUAUUCAUGAUGUUUUGAUUACAUUAUGUUAAAUAAAGGUUAUAGCUCCCAAAAAACAAAUGAGUAUCUCAUUAUUCGGGAAAAACAGCGUGUCAGCGGUUUAAAUAUCUCGUGUUUGAAGGUUUACUUUAAUGCAUCAGCUGUAAUAUAUUCAAGCAGCAGUUGGCUUGUCUAAGUGGUGAUCUCUGCCGCGCAACCGGCUUGUCUAAUCACCGGGAAGCAGCCGUUGCAGAGAGCAGGGAGAGCUUGAGGGGCUGACACAGCUUCUGUGAGACAUUCAAGGCCUCACCCUCCCUCCCUCCUUUUCUUUCUCCCCCUCCUCCUCCUCCUGUCGCCCUUGCUUUAGGCCACUAGCUGGUUAUUCAUCAAGAUGCCCCGGAUAGAGUAACCGUUGAGUUAACUCACAGGCAGCAGGAAUGAAUCCAAUCACCAUUAUCUGACCCAUUUUAGCAUCAGGUUAGUGCUCCAUUUUGCCAUCCAUUAGGGAGACAAUUCAGCCCUCAGGGGCAGAGCUGGGCUUUAUAAGAGCCAAAAAAGCAGAGGGAGGGCGAGAGAGAGAGAGAGAAAAAGGGGAAGAAAGCAGCAGAACAAAAAGUGAUAGUCGCAGGGAUGGAUGGCCACACUUCAAAAGGCAGUGGAAAAGGCUAAAGUGAUGUGGGAGUGGAGGGACAGGGGUGGAUGGUACAUCAGGGACAUUUGAGUGAACAUGACUGUGCAGGUUUCCGCUAGGCGCGAAGUGAGCGCCAAGUAAAGAGCUCUGAGAGCCAAAGAUAAACCAUCGGCUUUUUCACAGCUCGCCAAACCUGCUCAGCCGUGAACGCGCUGUCAAGACUCGUGUCAAAACAUGCGUUUGAUUUGAGUCUGUGUCAUGCUUGUUGCCUUAAAUAUAUAUAUCACCGCUAAUAAUUCAUUACAAUGACAUCGUCAUCUUGUGUUAAGCGGCUUUUAAUUUACAUAUUUUCUCCACUUUUAGUGGAGGAUAUAGUUCAGUUUCACACCACCAUCAGGUGGCAUCUUUGCAUAUAAAUCUUAAUAACGUCUGCAUGAAGACAGAGGAUACAAAAGUCAGCAUUUAGAGGGCGCUCUGGCCCUCUGUGGAUAUAUAUGCCACCUCACAGCUCCACGCUUGACUCAUGAUGAGCUCUCAUCCCACGUCUGACUCUUCAGAGAGUCUCACAGUCAUCUCAAAUCCAGCAGGAUCAGUCGCCACCUCUUCAUCUCUUCAGGAUUUCACCCUUGAAGUCCUUCCAUCCUCUUCAC
rnacentral:lncRNA from 1 species